AUGCAGGAUAAGUUACAGUGCAGCUCGUGCAGUGCUGCUUUGUCGUUCCCCCUGCAAACAGCAUCCUGUUUCCUCGCUAUACCUGUCAGUCAGCAUCCCUUGGCUGCCAGGCACGUAAGGUUUCAGACAU